UUGAUUAAAAUCUUUUGGUGGUUGUUUGGAAUUGAAUCGUGUGUAAUAAAUGGUUAGGUUAGUGUUAGAUUAUGGUUGGUGUUAGUAAUAAAUAGAAGUGAUGAAUGAGUUAGAUAAAGGUCUAGUAUAUUUGUUGGGUUAUGAAUUCACUCGAUGGUUGUUAGAUAUAUGUCUAGUCCUAAGUAUAUUUAUUAUCAUAUAUUCAA
rnacentral:lncRNA from 1 species